rnacentral:rRNA from 1 species
UACGUAGGGUGCGAGCGUUAAUCGGAAUUACUGGGCGUAAAGCGUGCGCAGGCGGUUUCGUAAGUCUGUCGUGAAAUCCCCGGGCUUAACCUGGGAAUGGCGAUGGAGACUGCGAGGCUAGAGUUUGGCAGAGGGGGGUAGAAUUCCGCGUGUAGCAGUGAAAUGCGUAGAGAUGCGGAGGAACACCGAUGGCGAAGGCAGCCCCCUGGGUCGACAUUGACGCUGAGGAGCGAAAGCUAGGGGAGCAAACGGG